GUUUCUGUAGUGUAGUGGUCAUCACGUUUGCUUUACACACAAAAGUCCCAGGUUCAAGACCUGGCAGAAACA